CCUGGGGGGGUGUUCGCCCCCUUGGGAUUGAGACCCGGCCCAAAUUCCUACGGGAGGCAGCAGUAGGGAAUUCUCGGCAAUGACGAAAGUCUGACCGAGCAACGCCGCGUGAGUGAAGAAGGUUUUCGGAUCGUAAAACUCUGUUGUUAGAGAAGACAAGGAUGAGAGUAACUGUUCAUCCCUUGACGGUAUCUAACCAGAAAGCCACGGCUAACUACGUGCCAGCAGCCGCGGUAAUACGUAGGUGGCAAGCGUUGUCCGGAUUUAUUGGGCGUAAAGCGAGCGCAGGCGGUUUCUUAAGUCUGAUGUGAAAGCCCCCGGCUCAACCGGGGAGGGUCAUUGGAAACUGGGAGACUUGAGUGCAGAAGAGGAGAGUGGAAUUCCAUGUGUAGCGGUGAAAUGCGUAGAUAUAUGGAGGAACACCAGUGGCGAAGGCGGCUCUCUGGUCUGUAACUGACGCUGAGGCUCGAAAGCGUGGGGAGCAAACAGGAUUAGAUACCCUGGUAGUCCACGCCGUAAACGAUGAGUGCUAAGUGUUGGAGGGUUUCCGCCCUUCAGUGCUGCAGCUAACGCAUUAAGCACUCCGCCUGGGGAGUACGACCGCAAGGUUGAAACUCAAAGGAAUUGACGGGGGCCCGCACAAGCGGUGGAGCAUGUGGUUUAAUUCGAAGCAACGCGAAGAACCUUACCAGGUCUUGACAUCCUUUGACCACUCUAGAGAUAGAGCUUCCCCUUCGGGGGCAAAGUGACAGGUGGUGCAUGGUUGUCGUCAGCUCGUGUCGUGAGAUGUUGGGUUAAGUCCCGCAACGAGCGCAACCCUUAUUGUUAGUUGCCAUCAUUCAGUUGGGCACUCUAGCAAGACUGCCGGUGACAAACCGGAGGAAGGUGGGGAUGACGUCAAAUCAUCAUGCCCCUUAUGACCUGGGCUACACACGUGCUACAAUGGGAAGUACAACGAGUUGCGAAGUCGCGAGGCUAAGCUAAUCUCUUAAAGCUUCUCUCAGUUCGGAUUGCAGGCUGCAACUCGCCUGCAUGAAGCCGGAAUCGCUAGUAAUCGCGGAUCAGCACGCCGCGGUGAAUACGUUCCCGGGCCUUGUACACACCGCCCGUCACACCACGAGAGUUUGUAACACCCGAAGUCGGUGAGGUAACCUUUUGGAGCCAGCCGCCUAAGGUGGA
rnacentral:rRNA from 1 species